rnacentral:rRNA from 1 species
GAGUGAACGCUGGCGGUAGGCCUAACACAUGCAAGUCGAACGGCAGCACAGUAAGAGCUUGCUCUUACGGGUGGCGAGUGGCGGACGGGUGAGGAAUACAUCGGAAUCUACUUUUUCGUGGGGGAUAACGUAGGGAAACUUACGCUAAUACCGCAUACGACCUACGGGUGAAAGCAGGGGAUCUUCGGACCUUGCGCGAUUGAAUGAGCCGAUGUCGGAUUAGCUAGUUGGCGGGGUAAAGGCCCACCAAGGCGACGAUCCGUAGCUGGUCUGAGAGGAUGAUCAGCCACACUGGAACUGAGACACGGUCCAGACUCCUACGGGAGGCAGCAGUGGGGAAUAUUGGACAAUGGGCGCAAGCCUGAUCCAGCCAUACCGCGUGGGUGAAGAAGGCCUUCGGGUUGUAAAGCCCCUUUGUUGGGAAAGAAAAGCAGCAGGUUAAUACCCCGCUGUUCUGACGGUACCCAAAGAAUAAGCACCGGCUAACUUCGUG